UGGAUACACACACUCAAGGUGGACACCAGG
rnacentral:piRNA from 1 species